UACGUAGGGGGCUAGCGUUAUCCGGAAUUACUGGGUGUAAAGGGUGCGUAGGUGGUUUCUUAAGUCAGAGGUGAAAGGCUACGGCUCAACCGUAGUAAGCCUUUGAAACUGGGAAACUUGAGUGCAGGAGAGGAGAGUGGAAUUCCUAGUGUAGCGGUGGAAUGCGUAGAUAUUAGGAGGAACACCAGUUGCGAAGGCGGCUCUCUGGACUGUAACUGACACUGAGGCACGAAAGCGUGGGGAGCAAACAGG
rnacentral:rRNA from 1 species